rnacentral:misc_RNA from 1 species
UCCUGGUUUCCCAGGCAGUCCCAUCAGAGUGCCUUGCAAAGCAAAUAGCAACUGACAGCAAGGGUUGCGCUCGUUAGAGGACUUAACCAAACAUCUCACGACACGAGCUGACGGCAGCCAUGCAGCACCUGUGUAAUUGUCCGAACCGAAAUCCGGAAGAUCGUGUUUCUACGACUGUCAAAAACAUGUCAAGCCUAGGUAAGGUUCCUCGCGUACUGUCGAAUUAAACCACAUGUUCCACCGCUUGUUCGGACCCCCGUCAAUUCCUUUGAGUUUUAAUCUUGCGACCGUACUUCCCAGGCGAACCACUUAACGCGUUAGCUACGACACCAACCCGGCUAAGCCAAGCUGACGUCUAGUGAUUAUCGUUUACAGCGUGGACUAC